UGAAUUCAGUUUUCCAGCUGCUGCAUUUCGUUUUCGCUCUUGCCCUCUUUCAGACGAUUCUGACGACUUUUAUAGACUCGCUCACGUUGGAUUCGUUUUCUGGCUUCGGUUUGUUCAGGUGUUUCAUUCAGACGACUCAU